AUACGUAGGGAGCAAGCGUUAUCCGGAUUUACUGGGUGUAAAGGGCGAGUAGGCGGGUCGGCAAGUUGGGAGUGAAAUGUCGGGGCUUAACCCCGGAACUGCUUCCAAAACUGUUGAUCUUGAGUGAUGGAGAGGCAGGCGGAAUUCCCAGUGUAGCGGUGAAAUGCGUAGAUAUUGGGAGGAACACCAGUGGCGAAGGCGGCCUGCUGGACAUUAACUGACGCUGAGGAGCGAAAGCGUGGGGAGC
rnacentral:rRNA from 1 species